CAGUCGCCGCGGGAAUACGGAGGGGGCUAGCGUUGUUCGGAAUUACUGGGCGUAAAGCGCACGUAGGCGGCUUGGUAAGUUAGAGGUGAAAGCCCGGAGCUCAACUCCGGAAUUGCCUUUAAGACUGCCGAGCUAGUAGGUGAGAGAGGUAAGUGGAAUUCCGAGUGUGGAGGUGAAAUUCGUAGAUAUUCGGAAGAACACCAGUGGCGAAGGCGGCUUACUGGCUCAUUCUAGACGCUGAGGUGCGAAAGCGUGGGGAGCAAGCAGGAUUAGAUACCCCUGUAGUCCCUGUCUCUUAUAC
rnacentral:rRNA from 1 species